ensembl:lncRNA
GCCUCCAGACACCUCCCAUGGCCCCACCCCUGAUUGGUGCACAGCUGCGGACAAUCUGGCUCAUUACCACAAGCAGUAUAUCAACCCUGGUCCUGCAGACCGCGGUUGUCAGUCUGUAUUGUCUUCUGACUUGUGUCCAGCACCUGAUCGAUCUGCCUGCCCUCCGGUGUUCAGCCACGGGACCUCACACCGCCGAUUCGGCCGCCUCCUGUGUCAGACCACAGCCUCCACACAUUCCAGCCCUCUCAGCGUAGCUGUAUACCUAAUACAGGAGACCUCCUCUGCACCCUAUGCUGCUGUAUUUUUUAUUUUUUUUAGGCAGUGAUAUCCUGGCAUACACUGAUGAGCUCCAAUACCACUGCCGUGACGUUUUUCUCUCGCUCAGCGUCCCACCGGCACUAAUUUUCACCAUAAUGAUCUUCAUGGGCGAAUGGGGUUUUGAGCGGCUUUUGCCUUGGCUGUGUACCAGCACUUUCAGCCCUGAUGUGCUCUCGUAAUUAUGCUGUCUGUGCUAAAUGCCUAUUGUGUAAAUUUGCAGUGAAGCUGCCAACAAAAUCAGAAAAUGGAUAGUUUUUUCUCAUUACCAGGCAGUAAAUAAUUGCAUAUAAUGUGGAUUGUGCUAAAAUUCCAUCCGCAUCGAAAGCAUAAUUCCGGUGAAAACGUAUGGAAUAAGACAAUAACACAUGGACCUAUGGGUCGGCAGCAGCAACACAGUCACACACAAAUUAGAUUCAUAUUUAUUGGAGAAUAGCUACAUCUGUCUUUGCACCUAAAGUC